GGCUCGGGAUCCAGCGCUGUCAGGGCGCAUCUCCAAACUUUGACCAGCUUUAAUUUACGCUGAGCAGCGAACCACGCCGCAAGUCGGCCUCUUCUUGCAGAGAGAAAUGGAAAUGCCCAGAACAAAAGAGCUCUUAUCGCCCCAAAGGCUGGAUUUACUUAUCUUGAGGCGGGGAAACUGAGGCCCAGACCAGUUGGACCCUCCAGCGGUCGAAACACAGGAAGGACCGAAGAGUCAAAUCAACCUUGCUGAAAAGAUAAGAACACUGGUCCAUUACAUGGAUUGCUUUAUGCCGACUGGACCUGGUGAGCAAGAAGAAAUAAAUCUGACUAAAAUUCAGGGGCUUCUACUGUAGCAGAUUUCGAGGAGUCCGGUGACAUAGGGCACAUCGAUCUCUCUUCCAAGGUGAAGGAUGAGUUGUUGCAGCUGGCCCCUCCCAGCAUCAAAACAGAGGCACAAUGCCUCGGGGGCCUCUGGAUUUCAGAGGCAACAUAUUCUUCAUUUGGGGCUGUUACUCCGGCUCAUUUACCAAGUGACCCAAAAAGCUGCUGCUGAGUGGGGUCCAGAAUAAGAGAAGGUUCCACACCAGGUCCAGACCACAGUGCAACCUUCUCUCCACUUGGUUCAUCUGGUCCAGCAGAUCCACUGGUGCUUGAAGUGGCAGACUGGGAUGCACUGGGAGCCUCUGGCAGCCCCGAGAGGGGACAGAAGCACAGGCCCUUAGUAUUCUGGAACAAAACCACUCCUUUUGAGAAACAGCUCCUGGUCGGCUACGGGUAGAGAAUGAACACUUAACUAUAUGUCCCCAAGUCACAUGAAACCUGAGAUGCCCAUCAUAAAUUGUUAUCUGAUCUACCAAGCCAUGGAGUUGGGAGUGCACAGCAACCCUCUAUCAUCAAAUGGAAUUGGCAUACAUGAGAUUGGGCCAAUAGGUGCUGAAGGCACACAUGUGUUACAUGAAGAAGUGGCCCCAAAUGCCCACGGUCCCCACUCCUGGCACACUGCCUUCUCUCUCCCAGCCUGCGUCUAUGGCCUCCUGGGGAGUCCCCUACCACAGCUGAUGGAAGAAGAGAAGACUCAGGCUUGGUUUAUAGAUGGUUCUGCACGAUAUGCAAGGGUGAAAGUGAAUCUUGCCAGUGGACAACAGGAGCAAUGCAUCUCAUUUUAUUUUUACUCAGGAGAAAUAGCCAGACAUGCAGUUCUAUACUAAGUCAUGGGCUGUGGCCAAUGUUUUGACUGGAUGGUAAGAGACUUGGAAGGAAUAUGAUUGGAAAAUUGGUGACAAGGAAGUCUAAUUGACAAAGCUAUCUGGGGAAGAUAAGUGGAUAGACAGCUCUGGGCAAAAAUGCAAAGAUAUUUGUGUCCUAUGUGAAUGCUCACCAAAGGGCGACCUGAACAGAGGAGGAUUUAAUAGUCAAGUGGACAGGAUGGUCUGUUUUGGGGAUACCAGGCAGCCUCGUCACUUACCCCUGUCAUCAGCCAGUGGGUUCAUGAACAAAGUGACCAUGGUGGCAGAGAUGGAGCUUAUGCAUGAGCUCAGCAACAUGGACUUCCACUCGCCGAAGCUGCCCCGGCUUCAGCCACCACACGGGCUCAAUCUGCCAGCAGUGGAGACCAACACGAGUACCCAAUAUGGCACCAGUUCCCAGGGUAGACAGCCAGCUACUGGUGGCAGGUUGAUGACACUGGACUGUUUCCAUCACGGAAGGGACAGCGUUUUGUUCUAACUAGGAUAGGCAUUAUGGAUAUGGGUUUGCUUUUCCUGCAUGCAACACUUCUACCAAAACUGCCAUCCAUGGACUUACAGAAUGUCUUAUGUACUUCAAGGGAUUCCACACAGCACUGCUUCUGAUGGAGGAACUCACUUCACAGCAGCAAUGGGCCCACACUCGUGGAACUCACUGGUCUUACCAUGUUUACCAUCUCGAAGCAGCUGGCCUGACAGGACGGUGGAAUGGCCUUUUGAAGACUCAGUUACAGUGUGAGCUAGGCGAAAAGGUUCUCCAGAAGGCUGUGUGUGCUCUGAAUCAACAUCCACCAUGUGUGCCAUAACCAGGAUUCAUGGGUACAGAAAUCAAGGGGUAGAUAUGGGAGUGACCCACUGGCAAAAUUUUCGCUUUCUGUUCCCAUGACUUUAUGCCCAGCCAGCCUAGAGAUCUUAGUUCUAGAAGGAGUAAAACUUCCUCCAAGAGAUAUAACGUGAUUCCACUGAACUGGAAAUGGAAAUUGCCAUCAGCCACUUUGGACUCCUCUUGCCUCUAGAUCAAUAGGCAAAAGGAGCGUGACAUUGGUUGGGGUGAACGAUCCACACUCCCAGGGGAACCUGGACUGCUCGUGCACAAUGAAGGAAGGAAGUAUGUCUGGAAUAGAGGAGAUGCCUUAGAGAGUCUAGUAGUUCUAAGCCCUGUGAUUAAGGUCAACUGACAACUGCAACUCCACCUAGGCAGGGAAGGACCACUAAUGGCCCAGACUCUUUGGGAGUAAAGGUUUGGUUCACACCACAAGGUAAUGAACCAUGACCAGCUGAGGUACCUGUUGAAGGCAAAAAGGAAUGCAAAGUGGGUAGUGGAAGAAGGUGGUUACAAAUACCAGUUAUGAUCCCCAAACCAGUUAGAGAAAUGAGGACUAUAACUACCACGAGUAUUUUCUCCUUAUUUUGCUAUGGAUAUA